GCUCUGGUGGUCUAGUAGUUAGUGCGUAUGCCUUGGAUGUGUGAGGUCACGUGUUCGAACCCCGGCCGAAUCA